AAUAGUUUUUACAAAAUGGACCAACCCAUCAGAAAUUCUUCUACCCUAAUAAAAUUAGAAAAUAAACAAACAAAGUAGGCCCAUUCUGACCCAUGUCCAAAUCUGUGACCCGACCCAUCUUUGUUUAUUACAUAAGCUAGCUGAGAUAGGGUUUUUGUUUCCUAUUCUUAACUCUAUCCGCCGCAGCAUUGCACACCUGAAAAUGUUGUCUUCUUCGAUGUUUAACCUCAUCUUCAUCUUGAAGUUGAUUUGGGUUAUCAACAUUGUGCCAUGGAUCUAAUGUAGAAUAGCUACAAUUUCAACUAUCAGAAUUGUGCUCUCCGAUUAUUAGGAAUAUCUAGUAUAUUUGGUGCUUUAUUGAUGGGUUUGAACCCCUGAAAGAACAUAGACAUACAGCUAUUGCCGGGAGGGAGAUAACAAGAUGCUCAAACCGGCAAGUAGCUGGAAUGUAUGUAUCUCUGCAGGUGUAUGAUUGGCAAAUCUAGUAAAAACCCUCCCUUACACUACGAGUCCUUUUUGCUGGCUGUAUUAGAAUAGGCUAUGUAUGUAUGUAUAACUUUGAUGAACCUGUAGUUUUAUAAAUACUUGCUUGUGCUCAAGUUAAGCUGUAGCCUGUUCAGCCUUGUCACCCUUUGGAUGAUGAAACUCUUAUGUAGUAUGGACAUUGCAUCUUAUUACUAUUUAGAAUUCUCUUGCCUGUA